AGCAUGUUACCAUAGUGACAUGUAAACUGUCAAACCUUGACUUUGCAAAUAUAAAUAGUGGCAAGCGGUGUUUUAGAAAAUAAUAACGACACUUGUUGUGUGUUUUGAAUACUAAAGCCUGGUUGACCCAGAGUGAGAGGGACUGUUACGGAGGGAACUGAAUCCCAGACAGGAUGUCUUUAUCCAGGAUUCAGAGUGUGCGAGUGGCAGCUGUGCUGGAGGACUGUUCCGACCAGUUGGACAUCCUGGGACAUACCCUGACAGUGCAGAUCACCAGGGAGCGAGGCACUGCAGUGGCACAGGAGAAAGCCAGACUGGCCAAGCUGAGAAGAGACUGUCAGUCCAUCUCGCGGCAGGUUUCCAAGCUGCAUUUGGAGCUGGAGGAGAAGCAGAGUCUCAGCUCUCUGCUGCAGGUGGUGGAGGACGAGGAGCAGAAGAAGAAGGCUAAUAACACGAGAAGAGAAGAGAAGAUUAAGCUGGAGAAAAGAAAAGAAACUCUACAGAGACAGAAAGAGGAGAUCAAACAGAAAACGGAGAAACUGACGGAAAUACGCUGGCUGGCCAAAGACCUGAAGCAUCAGCUGAAUGAGCAGUCAUCCCAGAUUGCCAACAAGAACAAGCUUAUGGAGAAAAACAUGGAGCUGCAGCUGCAGCAGACACAAAGGGAGACCAGCGAGACCGAGAAGCUGCUGCAGGACAAGCUGGAGCUGCUGCAGAACAAGCUGAUGGAGGAGAGGAGAGUUCAUGAGGAGUCGGAGAAAUUCCUGCAAAAUCGACAUAAGGAGUUGCAGCAGCAGCUGCAGCAGUGGCAGCUACACACCACCCAGAUGUUGCAGGAGAAGGAGCAGCAGCUCAACAGUGUGCGCUGCAAAAGAACUGUGAAUUUGGACCGACUGAUGGAGAUGAAGAGGAGGUUCAGGGAGAUGGAGCAGGUGGUGAUGGAGGACAGGGAGGAGCAGGAGAAACUGUGUCAACAGCAGGCACUGGCCACAUCUGCUACCAAGCUGCAGGCCUGGUGGAGAGGCUGCAUGGUCCGCCGGGGCCUCGGCAGUUUUAAAAAGGAGGAAGUCAAGAAAGGAAAGAAGAAGAAGGAAGGAAAGAAGAAAAAGAAGAAAUGAGUUUUCUCAUUGAAAUGAUGUUGAUGACGUUGAGCUGUUAAGACAGUGAACAAGGCUAUACUAGCAAGAUGUCCGGGAG